rnacentral:rRNA from 1 species
AGUGAACGCUGGCGGUAGGCCUAACACAUGCAAGUCGAACGGCAGCACAGAGGAGCUUGCUCCUUGGGUGGCGAGUGGCGGACGGGUGAGGAAUACAUCGGAAUCUACUCUGUCGUGGGGGAUAACGUAGGGAAACUUACGCUAAUACCGCAUACGACCUACGGGUGAAAGCAGGGGAUCUUCGGACCUUGCGCGAUUGAAUGAGCCGAUGUCGGAUUAGCUAGUUGGCGGGGUAAAGGCCCACCAAGGCGACGAUCCGUAACUGGUCUGAGAGGAUGAUCAGUCACACUGGAACUGAGACACGGUCCAGACUCCUACGGGAGGCAGCAGUGGGGAAUAUUGGACAAUGGGCGAAAGCCUGAUCCAGCCAUGCCGCGUGCGUGAAGAAGGUCUUCGGAUUGUAAAGCACUUUAAGUUGGGAGAAGGGCAGUAAGUUAAUACCUUGCUGUUUUGACGUUACCAACAGAAUAAGCACCGGCUAACUUAUGCCAGCAG